UACAGAGGGUGCAAGCGUUGUUCGGAAUUAUUGGGCGUAAAGCGCGUGUAGGCGGCUUUGCAAGUCGGGUGUGAAAGCCCUCGGCUCAACCGAGGAAGUGCAUCCGAAACUGGCAAGCUAGAGUACUAAAGAGGGUCGCGGAAUUCCCGGUGUAGAGGUGAAAUUCGUAGAUAUCGGGAGGAACACCGGUGGCGAAGGCGGCGACCUGGGUAGAUACUGACGCUGAGGUGCGAAAGCGUGGGGAGCAAACAGG
rnacentral:rRNA from 1 species